CAUACGGCAAUUGAUAUUUGAUUUCUGGUCUUUAUUGAUUUUUAACAGGUUUUUUACAGUAAAUAUUAGCAUUUUAGCUCAAUAGCUCUCAGGUCAUGUUACCUAUUGACCCCAAACCAGUGCAGAAUGAUAGUGCUACUAAGUAUGGUCAACAUACGCCAAUUUAUAUUUGAUUUUAGGACACAAUUGAUUUUUAACAGUUUUUUUACAGUAAAUAUUAGCAUUUUAGCUCAAUAGCUCUCAGGUCAUGUGAUGUAUUGACCCCAAACUAAUGCAGAAUGAUAGUGCUACUAAAGAUGGUCAACAUACGGCAAUUUAUAUUUGAUUUUAGGACAUUAUUGAUUUUUAACAGUUUUUUGACAGUAAAUAUUAGCUUUAUUGCUCAAUAGCUCUCAGGUCAUGUGACGUAUUGACCCCAAACCGGUGCAGAAUGAUAGUGCUACUAAGGAUGGUCAACAUACGCCAAUUGAUAUUUGAUUUCUGGUCUUUAUUGAUUUUUAACAGGUUUUUUACAGUAAAUAUUAGCAUUUUAGCUCAAUAGCUCUCAGGUCAUGUUACCUAUUGACCCCAAACCAGUGCAGAAUGAUAGUGCUACUAAGUAUGGUCAACAUACGCCAAUUUAUAUUUGAUUUUAGGACACAAUUGAUUUUUAACAGUUUUUUUACAGUAAAUAUUAGCAUUUUAGCUCAAUAGCUCUCAGGUCAUGUGACGUAUUGACCCCAAACCAGUGCAGAAUGAUAGUGCUACUAAGUAUGGUCAACAUACGGCAAUUUAUAUUUGAUUUCUGGACAUUAUUGAUUUUUAACAGUUUUUUGACAGUAAAUAUUAGCUUUAUUGCUCAAUAGCUCUCAGGUCAUGUUACCUAUUGACCCCAAACUAAUGCAGAAUGAUAGUGCUACUAAGGAUGGUCAACAUACGCCAAUUGAUAUUUGAUUUCUGGUCUUUAUUGAUUUUUAACAGGUUUUUUACAGUAAAUAUUAGCAUUUUAGCUCAAUAGCUCUCAGGUCAUGUGACUAAUUGACCCCAAACUAAUGCAGAAUGAUAGUGCUACUAAAGAUGGUAAACAUAC